rnacentral:rRNA from 1 species
GUGGGGGAUAUUGCACAAUGGAGGAAACUCUGAUGCAGCGACGCCGCGUGAGUGAAGAAGUAUUUCGGUAUGUAAAGCUCUAUCAGCAGGGAAGAUAAUGACAGUACCUGACUAAGAAGCCCCGGCUAACUACGUGCCAGCAGCCGCGGUAAUACGUAGGGGGCAAGCGUUAUCCGGAUUUACUGGGUGGAAAGGGAGCGUAGACGGAAUGGCAAGUCUGAAGUGAAAUCCUGCGGCUUAACUGCAGAAUUGCUUUGGAAACUGGCAAUCUGGAGUGUUGGAGAGGUAAGCGGAAUUCCUGGUGUAGCGGUGAAAUGCGUAGAUAUCAGGAAGAACACCGGAGGCGAAGGCGGCUUACUGGACUGUAACUGACGCUGAGGCGCGAAAGUGUGGGGAGCAAAUAGGAUUAGAUACCCUGGUAGUCC